CCCAUGCAUCCGCCCGAGAACUACGAGCACAAACGCUUAAAACUCUAAGGACUUGGCGGUGCCCCAAACCCACCUAGAGGAGCCUGUUCUAUAAUCGAUAAUCCACGAUUCACCCAACCACCCCUUGCCAACACAGCCUACAUACCGCCGUCGCCAGCCCACCUAAAAUGAGAGGCCAACAGUGGGCCCAACAGUCUACCACUAACAAGACAGGUCAAGGUAUAGCCCAUGGGGUGGAAGAAAUGGGCUACAUUUUCUAACAGUAGAACAAACGAAAAAGGACGUGAAACCCGUCCUUGGAAGGAGGAUUUAGCAGUAAAGUGGGACCAUACUUUUCUAGCCUACUUUAAGACG
rnacentral:rRNA from 1 species